GUCAAUAGUGGUAGAAAAACACUGCAACAAAGUCAAUAGAAAAUACUGUACAAUGGAAACUAGUAUAAAGAGACGCAGCACAAAAAUGCAGUAGAAACUGAAAAACUAGGGUAAAGAUUUCCUCCAACAAAACAAAAACUAGUGUAAAGAUGUAGUAUUACAAAGAUGUGGGAGCAUGUUAAGAUGGAAAUAAAAAUCCAAAAAUGGUACGUCUGGACACACAAAAGUAGAACCUCUACUACCUAAAAGAAACAGAGUGUUCCGUUUCCCCUCUUACGUUUCCCCUUCGUCCAACCAUCUCGUACAAGCCCCCUCUCCCCUUCAGCGAUUUUCUUUUCUCCCUCCAUCGGUUUUCUCCCUGCCGGUUUUAUCCUCAUCUGGCCGGACAAACCGACUGUAUCUUUGGUAAACAUAUAAUGCACGUAAGGUAACCAAAGGCAAUCAAUCCAAAAGCAAUCAAUUCAUGCAUGGCAAUCAAUUCAUUCAUGACGGUGAUCAAUAUCCUUCAAUUAUCAAGACCAUGUCACGCCCAAGUUUCCUCCCAAUUAAUCAAUCUAUGGCACGUUGUUUUCCAUCACGCUGCAGCCGCCGCGGGCGCCGCCUUCGCAUCUACCCUUUCGAAGGGCACCGCCUCCAUGGUCGCCGUUGCCUCGACCUCCCGCACGCCUAGCACCGCCGCAAGUCAUCGGCUUUCCUUCUGUUUUGGGUUUUUCCUCGCCGGAUUUUCCAUUAAAACCAGCCCAUGCGUUCCACUUACCCUAGCGUCGCCGUCCCGAUGCUGCAGUACAACGCCGGUAGCCAACUCUUCACGAUGCGAGGCCCUCUCGUCACGCCGCCGCCGCCAGCCCACCUCCUCGUGAUCUAGCCAAUACCUUCCCCCGUGCGGCGUCCCACUCUUCGCGCAGCAGCCCCCAUAGAUGAGUCCCCGAUCCCCUCGCAUGAAUGUUGUCCUGCUCCACGGCCUCCUGCAGCUGGUCCUGCCGUGUGUUGCGGACAUGCAGCAGUCUCCCCGAGGUCCUGCCCCGUUUCGUGUCGCCUCGCCGAGAUCCUACCAGUCUCGCAUCCCCGACGGCCUUCCUUCACGGUUGCAGUUUGAACAGGUCAAAAGAGACGGUGACCAGCAACGGUGUGAGGCGACGGCGGAAGUGUGUCAGUGAUUGUGGCCAUGCUGGGUCCAAGAUGAGGGUGAGGUGCCGCAAGCGGCUAACUUGCCAAGGUAUAUAUCUCUUUAGUUGUGUAAAGGUUUCUACUUUAUAUAUCCAUUUUAGCUGCACAAAUGGUAUUGUCCAUCAGUGUCCAUUGUAUGCUUGAGGAGAAUGUUGGAAUGACAUAACACGGCAAAGUGAGAAACAUAGAAAGCAAGCUGAAAGCUUGAAAACUUCAAAGAUUUUGUGACACUAAAAAAUUAUUUAUACACAUUAAUUUUAGCUUGAAAUUUGAAAGAGUAA